GACGAACGCUGGCGGCGUGCUUAACACAUGCAAGUCGAACGGAAAGGCCCUGCUUUUGUGGGGUGCUCGAGUGGCGAACGGGUGAGUAACACGUGAGUAACCUGCCCUUGACUUUGGGAUAACUUCAGGAAACUGGGGCUAAUACCGGAUAGGAGCUCCUGCUGCAUGGUGGGGGUUGGAAAGUUUCGGCGGUUGGGGAUGGACUCGCGGCUUAUCAGCUUGUUGGUGGGGUAGUGGCUUACCAAGGCUUUGACGGGUAGCCGGCCUGAGAGGGUGACCGGCCACAUUGGGACUGAGAUACGGCCCAGACUCCUACGGGAGGCAGCAGUGGGGAAUAUUGCACAAUGGGCGGAAGCCUGAUGCAGCAACGCCGCGUGCGGGAUGACUGCCUUCGGGUUGUAAACCGCUUUCGCCUGUGACGCAGCGUGAGUGACGGUAAUGGGUAAAGAAGCACCGGCUAACUACGUG
rnacentral:rRNA from 1 species